rnacentral:tRNA from 1 species
GCUCAAUUGGUUAAGCGUCUUGACUCCUGAUCUCAGCUCAGGUCUUGAUCCCAGAGUUGUGAGUUCAAGUCCCACACUGGGCU